rnacentral:lncRNA from 1 species
CAGAUUGUAACCUUUCCCCUGAUACCUUACAAGGCAUGCUUUACAUGCAAGAUCACAAUGAUAUGAAAAUGAGGAACAUGGGGGUUACAGCACGCUCCCCCAAGGUAUAGAAUGUCACACCUACCUCACAGGCUUGUUGUGAAGAUAGAUACAUUAGAGAUUGUGAGGUUCUCAGAAUCUAUAGUAAUGGGGCGGGGUCAGAUAAGUACUUAAGAUAGAGAAGCAUGUGAAUGGGCAUUUAUACUGCAAUCCUCAAACAGACUUGAGGGAAUGCAGUUUAGGUACUACUUGUGCAUACAAAUCUGUGUAUGUAGCAUAAGGGUAUAAAACAACUUGGUAUCUGGUUUUUAAGUGCUGCGUUUCUUUCUUCUGACCUUGCAUCACUGCAAUGUGUGCCUGACAGAGUGAUGCUGUGCUGAGACAUCCUUAACUCUUCACACACUCCAGAGGGGAGGCAGAAAUCAGAAAGGGAAAGGAGAGAGAGAGAAGAAAGCUCACAGCUCCAUCUUGCAAACAACAAAAAGGAUUGUGCUAAAACGACUGAAGAGUAACCAAGUGAAGAGCACCGCAGCCCGUCACACACUUGCCACUGAGGAGGAAAGCCCCUCCCCAGCAAUGGAGUGAGUAUUGAUGUUCUCUAUUUGUGCAACUACUAUCCC